rnacentral:rRNA from 1 species
CGGCGGACGGGUGAGUAACACGUAGGCAACCUGCCUGUAAGACUGGGAUAACAUAGGGAAACUUAUGCUAAUACCGGAUAGGGUUUUGCUUCGCCUGAAGCGAAACGGAAAGAUGGCGCAAGCUAUCGCUUACAGAUGGGCCUGCGGCGCAUUAGCUAGUUGGUGAGGUAAUGGCUCACCAAGGCGACGAUGCGUAGCCGACCUGAGAGGGUGACCGGCCACACUGGGACUGAGACACGGCCCAGACUCCUACGG